rnacentral:rRNA from 1 species
GAUUGCAGAAUUCAGUGGAAUCAUCGAAUCUUUGAACGCACCUUGCCGCCCCUUGGCUAUUCCNAGGGGCAUGCCUGUUUGAGUAUCAUG